rnacentral:rRNA from 1 species
UACGUAGGGGGCAAGCGUUGUCCGGAAUUAUUGGGCGUAAAGCGCGUGUAGGCGGCUCGGUAAGUCUGCUGUGAAAGUCCAGGGCUCAACCCUGGAACGCCGGUGGAUACUGUCGAGCUCGAGUCCGGAAGAGGCGAGUGGAAUUCCUGGUGUAGCGGUGGAAUGCGCAGAUAUCAGGAGGAACACCAAUGGCGAAGGCAGCUCGCUGGGACGGUACUGACGCUGAGACGCGAAAGCGUGGGGAGCAAACAGG